rnacentral:rRNA from 1 species
GAUGAACGCUGGCGGCGUGCCUAAUACAUGCAAGUCGAGCGAACGGACGAGGAGCUUGCUUCUCUGAUGUUAGCGGCGGACGGGUGAGUAACACGUGUAUAACCUACCUAUAAGACUGGUAUAACUUCGGGAAACCGGAUCUAAUACGGGAUAAUAUUUUGAACCGCGUGGUUCAAAAGUGAGAGACGGUCUUGCUGGCACUUCUCGAUGGAUCCGCGCUGCAUUAGCUAGUUGGUAAGGUAACGGCUUACCAAGGCAACUAUGCAUAACCGACGUGAGAGAGGGAUCGGCCACCUGGGAGGGGAGACAGGGACAAGACUACUGCGGUAGGCAGCAGUAUGGAACCGGCCGCAGUGGUCGAGAGCCUUACGGAACAAGGCGGAGUGAGUGAUGAAGGUGUCCCGAGCGUAAAAAUCGGUUACGAGGUAUGAACAGAUGUGUAAGUAACUGUGCACAGCGUGACGGUAACUAAUAAGAAAGCCACGGCUAACUACGUG